UACGUAGGGGGCAAGCGUUAUCCGGAUUUACUGGGUGUAAAGGGAGCGUAGAUGGCAGUGCAAGUCUGGAGUGAAAGGCGGGGGCUCAACCCCCGGACUGCUCUGGAAACUGUACGGCUGGAGUGCAGGAGAGGUAAGUGGAAUUCCUAGUGUAGCGGUGAAAUGCGUAGAUAUUAGGAGGAACACCAGUGGCGAAGGCGGCUUACUGGACUGUAACUGACGUUGAGGCUCGAAAGCGUGGGGAGCAAACAGG
rnacentral:rRNA from 1 species